CCCUUAACUAUUAAAAGUUUCGUUUUGGUCCUUUAACUUACUUUUUGAUUUCGUUUUGGUCCAUUAACUCUUCCUCCGUCAACUACUUUGGUCCUUUAUGUUAGGAUGAAUGUAUUAGAGUUAAGGGACCAAAAUGAAACCAAAAAAUAAGUUAAGGGACCAAAACGAAACCAAAAAAAUAAGUUAAGGGACUAAAACGAAACUUUUAAUAGUUAAGGGACCAAAAGAAAACUCAAAAAUAAAUUAUGGGACCGAAACGAAACUUUUAAUAGUUAAGGAA
rnacentral:pre_miRNA from 1 species